UUAUAAUUAAAUUAUUAUAAUAAAAUUUUAAAAGUAAUUUUUUUUUAUUAUUAAUUAGAAAAAUUAUUUAUAAUUAUAGUUUAUUAGUAAAGUGAUUGAAUUUUUUUGCUAUUAUCAAAGAAAAAUUUAUUUUUUGUACCUUGUGGAUCAGGGUUUAUUAAUUAUAAAUUAUAUAUUUAAUUUUCUUGAACUUAAAAGAGCUAAUUAGUUAUUUAUUUAAAUGUUAAAUAAUUUUUUUUGAUAAUUAUUUGGAAGUGAAACGUUAUUCGAUUUUAUAUAUCUAGUUUUUUAAGAAAAGAAUUUAAUUCUAUUGUUAUUUAUUAAGUAAUUUUUUUGCUAUUACUUAAGUUUUAACAUUAAAUAUUUAAUGGGAUGAGCUUUUAUUUAUAUUUUUAUAAUAAAAAUAUUUUUUAAUAUUUUGUAUAAUUUGAAUUGUUAAUCAUUAAUAAAUUAAUAUUUAGGUAUUUGAAUUAAAAGAUUUUUAUUUAUUUAAUUUUUUUAUUAAAAUAAAUUAAUUAAUUUUAAUUUUUUAUAAUUAUGAUAAAAUUAGUAAUAAUAAUAAUUCAUUUUUGUUAAAAUUUUCAAGAUUAAUAAAAGGAACUCGGCAAAAUUAUUUUCUGCCUGUUUAUUAAAAACAUGUCUUUUUGAUAAUAAUUUAAAGUCUAAUCUGCUCAAUGAAGUAAUUAAAUAGCCGCAGUAUUUUGACUGUGCGAAGGUAGCAUAAUAAUUAGUUUCUUAAUUAGGGACUUGUAUGAAUGAUUGAACAAGAAAAUUUCUGUCUCUUUUUAAUUUUUUUUUGAAUUUAAUUUUUAAGUUAAAAUGCUUAAAUACUUAUUAAAGACGAGAAGACCCCAUAGAGUUUUAUUUUUAUAAAUUUUUUAGUAUAAGUUUUUAAAUAAAAAUUAGUUGGGGUGACUUAAAGAUUAAAUAAACUCUUUAAAUUUUAAUCAUUUAUUUUUGAAUAUAAAGUCUAAUUUUAUUAAGUUUAAAUUAAAUUACCUUGGGGAUAACAGCGUAAUUUCUUUUAAGAGUUCUUAUCAAAUAAGAAGAUUGCGACCUCGAUGUUGGAUUAAAAUUUAUUUUAGGUGCAGAAGCUUGAAAAUUAAGUCUGUUCGACUUUUAAAAUUUUACAUGAUCUGAGUUUAAAUCGGCGUAAGCCAGAUUGGUUUCUAUCUUUAUAAAAAUUUAUUAUUUUAGUACGAAAGGACCAAUUUUUAAAUAAAUUAUUUAUUUUUUUAUAAAAUU
rnacentral:rRNA from 1 species